rnacentral:rRNA from 1 species
AAUGGGCGAAAGCCUGAUCCAGCCAUGCCGCGUGGUAGAUGAAGGCCCUCUGGGUUGUAAAUACCUUUUAUCUGGGAAGAAAUAUCUCGUUCUCGAGAAACUGACGGUACCAGAUGAAUAAGCACCGGCUAACUCCGUGCCAGCAGCCGCGGUAAUACGGAGGGUGCAAGCGUUAUCCGGAUUCACUGGGUUUAAAGGGUGCGUAGGCGGAAUUAUAAGUCAGUGGUGAAAGCCCCGAGCUCAACUUGGGAACUGCCAUUGAUACUGUUUUUCUUGAAUACGAUUGAGGUAAGCGGAAUGUUGCAUGUAGCGGUGAAAUGCUUAGAUAUGUUACAGAACACCAAUUGCGAAGGCAGCUUACUAAGUCGUCAUUGACGCUGAGGCACGAAAGCGUGGGUAGCAAA